rnacentral:lncRNA from 1 species
UUUUGUUGUUGAGAUAUCAGGUUUUCAAUAUUUGAAACCUUAAAUAUGUUGUUAUUUUAAACUACGUUUUGUAUUUGGAUUAGAUUUUUUAUAGGUGCUAAAAGUAACAUGUUUUAAUCUCAUUCUCAAUGCGUUUUUAGCUGAUUAUUCGAUGUUAAUAGUGAAUUUUAUGCUCCUAAUCCUUUAAAUUCAUGAUUUUAUACUUAGGAGAGC